GCGUUGUCCGGAAUUACUGGGCGUAAAGAGCACGUAGGCGGCUAUAAAAGUCAGAUGUGAAAAACCUGGGCUCAACCGAGGGUAUGCAUCUGAAACUAAAUAGCUUGAGUCAAGGAGAGGAGAGCGGAAUUCCUGGUGUAGCGGUGAAAUGCGUAGAGAUCAGGAAGAAUACCAGUGGCGAAAGCGGCUCUCUGGACUUGAACUGACGCUGAGGUGCGAAAGCGUG
rnacentral:rRNA from 1 species